GAUGAACGCUGGCGGCGUGCCUAAUACAUGCAAGUCGAGCGAACGGACGAGAAGCUUGCUUCUCUGAUGUUAGCGGCGGACGGGUGAGUAACACGUGGAUCACCUACCUAUAAGACUGGGAUAACUUCGGGAAACCGGAGCUAAUACAGGAUAAUAUUUUGAACCGCAUGGUUCAAAAGUGAAAGACGGUCUUGCUGUAAAUUAUAGAUGGAUCCGCGCUGCAUUAGCUAGUUGGUAAGGUAACGGCUUAUCACGGCAACGAUGCAUAGCCGACGUGAGAGGUGGAUCGACCGCACGGGAGCUGAGACACGCUCCAGAGUCCUACGAGAGGCAGCAGUAGGGAAUCUUCCGCAAUAGGCGAAAGCCUGACGGAGCAGCGCCGCGUGAGUGAUGGAGGUCUUCGGAUCGUAAAACUCUGUUAUUAGGGAAGAACAUAUGUGUAAGUAACUGUGCACAUCUUGACGGUACCUAAUCAGAAAGCCACGGCUAACUACGUG
rnacentral:rRNA from 1 species